GGGUCACAUUAUUUCACAGACAAACAGACGCGCCUCCACUAUAUGACAACGCAACAGCAUCCCCCAGGUUCCAAACCAACAGCGGACCUUGAGCAAGGCACAUCGCAGAUAAUACAGAAGCAAAGGAGAUAUAAUAGAGAUUAUAUUGUACUUUUGGAGCUGCAUUCGGUAAUUGGACCUAUACCAACUGUUUUAUCAGUUGAAUUUGAUCUCUUUUGGCCAGACCACAUCAACAUGGUUGGGAAAACAAUUUUGCUAGUCUGUCUGGCUGUCUUCUUUUCUGCAGUAGACGCAGAGGACCGAUCAAGACUCUACAGGAGGCCUUCCUGUGGGGAUAUGAGCCUAACCCAGGCGUGCCCGCUCAACUACUCCCCAGUGUGUGGCAAUGAUGGAAACACUUACCCCAACGAGUGCUCUCUGUGUGUUCACCGGAUGGAAACCAAUGCAGACAUCUUGAUAGUGAAAGAUGGAAGUUGCUGAAGAGAAGGCCUACUGAUGAUUCCGCCGAGGAAGUGAUAAUACUAUCACGUGUAUCUUUAACAAUCCCAGAAAGAAUCGGAAUUGGUUGUAGAAUUUGUUUUUUUUAUGGAACACCCACACUCACUCACUCAUCACUUACGCACACACACUUUAUAUAAUCAUAUUGAUUUGUAUUACAUCGUAACACUAUCUUUGUAAAGAAUAAAUCGAUUUCAGUCCCAGCUCCUGUAGAAUCCUUUAUCAUUAAAUGUCCAGAUGCUCCUUAUUGGUUUGUAAAUGUUUUGUUGUAUUUCAAUCAACAUACCACAUGAAUAAUGACAUAAGUUAUACUUCCACUACAGUAAAAAUAGAAUUUCAGUCAAAUUAUUGGUAGUAGUAACUUGAAAAAGCCACAUAGGGGCACUACAACAAAUAUACUUCAAUUUUUGCUGUAUUUUCCUGUUUCACAUUUUAUUGUUACAUCUGGUUGGCAGCAUGUGAAUGGUUUGUAUCUGGAGUGUAUGGUUGAUGAAAUGGUGGAGCGUGUUGUUAUUGUAAGUAUGUUGAAGAGAGGGAAAGAUUGAAGUGUACG